rnacentral:rRNA from 1 species
GACGAACGCUGGCGGCGUGCUUAACACAUGCAAGUCGAACGGUGAAGCGCCUUCCUUUUUGGUGGGUGUGGAUGAGUGGCGAACGGGUGAGUAACACGUGAGUAACCUGCCCCCUUCUUCUGGAUAACCGCAUGAAAGUGUGGCUAAUACGGGAUAUUCUGGGUCUGUCGCAUGAUGGGUCUGGGAAAGAUAUUGUUUCGGUGGGGGAUGGGCUCGCGGCCUAUCAGCUUGUUGGUGGGGUGAUGGCCUACCAAGGCGGUGACGGGUAGCCGGCCUGAGAGGGUGGACGGUCACACUGGGACUGAGACACGGCGCAGACUCCUACGGGAGGCAGCAGUGGGGAAUAGUGCACAAUGGGCGCAAGCCUGAUGCAGCGACGCCGCGUGAGGGAUGGAGGCCUGCGGGUUGUGAACCUCUUUCGCCAGUGAAGCAGGCCUGCCUCGUUUGUGGGUGGGUUGACGGUAGCUGGAUAAGAAGCGCCGGCUAACUACGUG